rnacentral:rRNA from 1 species
CCCCUAGUAACUGCGAGUGAAGCGGGAAAAGCUCAAAUUUAAAAUCUGGUGGUCUUUGGCCAUCCGAGUUGUAGUCUGGAGAAGUGCUUUCCGCGCUGGACCGUAUACAAGUCUCUUGGAACAGAGCGUCAUAGAGGGUGAGAAUCCCGUCUUUGAUACGGACUACCAGUGCUUUGUGAUGCGCUCUCAAAGAGUCGAGUUGUUUGGGAAUGCAGCUCAAAAUGGGUGGUAAAUUCCAUCUAAAGCUAAAUAUUGGCGAGAGACCGAUAGCGAACAAGUACCGUGAGGGAAAGAUGAAAAGCACUUUGGAAAGAGAGUUAAACAGUACGUGAAAUUGCUGAAAGGGAAACGCUUGAAGUCAGUCGCGUUGGCCAGGACUCAGCCUUGCUUUUUUGCUUGGUGCACUUUCUGGUUGACGGGCCAGCAUCGAUUUUGACCGCUGGAAAAAGGCUAGGGGAAUGUGGCACCUUCGGGUGUGUUAUAGCCCUUAGUCACAUACGGUGGUUGGGAUCGAGGACCGCAGCACGCCUUCAAUGGCCGGGGUUCGCCCACGUUCGUGCUUAGGAUGCUGGCGUAAUGGCUUUAAACGACCCGUCUUGAAACACGGACCAAGGAGUCUAACAUGCCUGCGAGUGUUUGGGUGGUAAACCCGAGCGCGUAAUGAAAGUGAAAGUUGAGAUCCCUGUCGUGGGGAGCAUCGACGCCCGGACCUGAUCUUCGGUGAUGGCUCUGCGGUAGAGCAUGUAUGUUGGGACCCGAAAGAUGGUGAACUAUGCCUGAAUAGGGUGAAGCCAGAGGAAACUCUGGUGGAGGCUCGUAGCGAUUCUGACGUGCAAAUCGAUCGUCAAAUUUGGGUAUAGGGGCGAAAGACUAAUCGAACCAUC